CGAACAUAUCACAUUGAAACACCGGUUCUCGUACAAUCACUGAAGUUAAGCCACGUCAAGUCUGGUCAGUACCUAGAUCAGUGACCAAUUGGCAGUACCAGGUGCUGUAAG